UACGGAGGGGGCUAGCGUUGCUCGGAAUCACUGGGCGUAAAGCGCACGUAGGCGGUACUCUUAAGUCAGGGGGUGAAAUCCUGGAAGCCUCAACUCCAGAACUGCCUUUGAUACUGGGAGUCUUGAGUUCGGGAGAGGUGAGUGGAACUGCGAGUGUAGAGGUGAAAUUCGUAGAUAUUCGCAAGAACACCAGUGGCGAAGGCGGCUGACUGGUCCGGUUCUGACGCUGAGGCGCGAAAGCGGUGGGGAGCAAACAGG
rnacentral:rRNA from 1 species